rnacentral:rRNA from 1 species
CUUUCUAUUAGCUUUCAGUGAGAUUACACAUGCAAGCAUCCACAGCCCUGUGAGAAUGCCCUCAACCAAAACAUNNNNGAGGAGCGAGUAUCAAGCACGCAUCAUGCAGCUCAAAACACUUUGCUUAGCCACGCCCCCACGGGAAACAGCAGUGAUAAACUUUUAGCAAUGAACGAAANGUUUAACUAAGCUACACUGACCACCAGAGUCGGUCAAUUUCGUGCCAGCCACCGCGGCCAUACGAUUGACUCGAGUUAAUAGAGCCCGGCGUAAAGGGUGUUUAAGACUUGAAUCCAAGUACAAUAAAGCUAACCUACAACUAAGUCGUAAAAAACCACAGUUGCAGUGAAAUAAACUACGAAAGUGGCUUUAACACUCUGAAUACACUAUAGCUAAGGUACAAACUGGGAUUAGAUACCCCACUAUGCUUAGCCCUAAACCUCAGUAACUCAACCAACAAACUUAUUCGCCAGAACACUACAAGCAACAGCUUGAAACUCAAAGGACCUGGCGGUGCUUUACAUCCGUCUAGAGGAGCCUGUUCUAUAAUCGAUACACCCCGAUAAACCUCACCACCUCUUGCCAUCAGCCUGUAUACCGCCAUCUUCAGCAAACUCCCUAAUGAUCGCAUAGUAAGCGGAAGUAUCAUCAUAAAAACGUUAGGUCAAGGUGCAGCCAAUGACGUGGGAAGAAAUGGGCUACAUUUUCUAAUUCAGAAAAUCAUACGAUANACCCUUAUGAAACU